GACGAACCGUGCGAACGUUGUUCGGAAUCACUGGGCUUAAAGGGCGCGUAGGCGGCCUAGCAAGUCCGGGGUGAAAGCCCCCGGCUCAACCGGGGAAGUGCCUUGGAAACUGCUGUGCUCGAGGGAGGUAGGGGUCGAGGGAACUUCUGGUGGAGCGGUGAAAUGCGCAGAUAUCAGGAGGAACACCGGUGGCGAAGGCGGGUCUCUGGGCCGUAACUGACGCUGAGGAGCGAAAGCGUGGGGAGCAAACAGG
rnacentral:rRNA from 1 species